rnacentral:rRNA from 1 species
AUUGAACGCUGGCGGCAGGCCUAACCCAUGCAAGUCGAGCGGAGCGGCGGACGGGUGAGUAAUGCAUAGGUAUCUGCCUGGUCGUGGGGGAUAACGUCCGGCAACGGGCGCUAAUACCGCAUCCUAUCAGAUGAGCCUAGGUCGGAGUAGCUAGGUGGUGGGGUAAAGGCCUACCAAGGCGACGAUCCGUAACUGGUCUGAGAGGAUGAUCAGUCACACUGGAACUGAGACACGGUCCAGACUCCUACGGGAGGCAGCAGUGGGGAAGAUUGGACAAUGGGCGAAAGCCUGAUGCAGCCAUGCCGCGUGUGUGAAGAAGGUCUUCGGAUUGUAAAGCACUUUAAGUUGGGAGGCGUUACCAACAGAAUAAGCACCGGCUAACUUCGUGCCAGCCGCCGCGGUAAUAC